rnacentral:lncRNA from 1 species
CAGAAAUGCUCACCACUCAGAAGGCGGACCUGGGUUAUUAGUUUGGAAGAAGUCUCAGGCGAGUGAACCCAGGUCACAUGAUUUUUAAACCACUCCUGAUUUUUCACGCGAGUCACGUGUUUUUAAAGCUCAUCUCGUGAGUGUGAAUUUCGGGGGCGAUUCGUUUUCGCGGCUGACAAGGCGGGGGGAGAUUCAGGGUUAAUUCUACUGAGUUCCCAGCUGGGGAGAGAGCAGCAGGAAGUGGGGGACACAAUAACCUAGGGACCUUCCUGUGCCAGCCCCCCCGGGCUCGCCUCGGAGUCACUCCCUGCAGCGUGUGUGGACAGGGGCUGAAUCCCCGUCUGCAGCCCCAGGGUCCCGGAGGGAAUCGCCCUGGCCGGAGCGAUUUGCACCGGCUGUCCAGUCCACAUGAAGAGGGAAGUGAUGGAGGGCAGGAUCUCCUGCCCUGGCUCCCUAUGCCCAGCUUCCAGGUGGCGGUGACAUUCAAGAAGGUGGCCGUGUGCUUCCGCAAGGAAGAGUGGGGUGACCUGGACGAAGGGCAGAGGCAGCUCUACGGGGCAACUUCCACGAGCAUUAUGAGACUCUGACUUCUCUGGGAU